rnacentral:lncRNA from 1 species
UAGGAGUUAUUUUUGCCCAUUGUUAAUGGUGUCCAGUGGAUUGAUUCUUACUUGGGGCACGAUGCUACGAGCGGGCCUGGACUCGCUCAAGAUAGCUUUGACGAGUAUCUGAAGAUUGCGGACACUAUGAGCUGGCUAUGCCUCAAGAAGAUUUGCAAAGCAAUUAUCAAGGCAUAUAUCACCGAUUAUUUUGGAGUGCUUCAAGCUCGGUGGAGAAUCAUUAGAGGUCCAACCGAGAGAUCAUGAUGACAUGUAUCAUCAUGCACAACAUGAUUGUGGAGAAUGAAGAAAAAUGUGCUCUAAACUAGAGAGAUGACGAUUCGGGAAACAAGACGUCUAGCAAUGGCUCAUCCGAUGCUCGCCAAUCACUCUCACCUAGCUUCAAAGACUAUUUGUCGAGAGAUUCAGUUAUCAGAGAUAGACGGUUGGAUGCAUGACUUCAAUAAGAUAUGAUCGAAUACAUUUGGCCAUAGACCUCUUGGACCAGAAUAGUUAUUUAUAUGUUUAUCUUAAUUAUGUUUAGUAUUUUUUUUGUAUUUUUCUUUUUUAUGUUAAUGUAAUUGCAUGGUAUUUCAAUCAAUGUAUUUUAUGAAUUUAAAUCAAAUGAAAAUUCAAUAAAUCAAAAACUAAUUCAUAUGAGUCAACAUGAUGAGCCAACCAAAUGCAAUACAUAAAUGGGCCA